GCAUCCGUAGCUCAGCUGGAUAGAGUACUCGGCGACGAACCGAGCGGUCGGAGGUUCGAAUCCUCCCGGAUGCACCA
rnacentral:tRNA from 1 species